rnacentral:lncRNA from 1 species
AGCGUAGCUGAACAUCUUACGGAUGGCCCAGGGCUCCAAAGGCUCGUUUCCUAAGUGAGAGAGAGCCUGGCUGAAGCUGUAUUACCAUUCAUUCUCCAGCCUCCGAAGUCUCAAAGCAUCACUUCCACCAUACUCUAACUGUCAAGACAAACACAAAGGCCCAGAGAAGGGGUCUCACUAUGUUGUCUGGAGUGCUGUGGUGGAGUGGAGUGGCUAUUCACAGAGCCUGUUCUGCUGGGACACAGAAUCACUUGCUCCAUCUCAUACAUUGAUGAUGAUUAAUUUGUAUGUGUACCUUCCAAAAAAGAUGGUUGUGUUUGAAUGGAGGCCUUCUGGACAGGAAAAUAUACAGUGAACCCACAUGUUGAAGCUUUCUAGUAUAAUAAAAAUUUCAACUGUUCUGUUGAAUCAUCUGCCUGAUUGGAGGCUACAGAAAAGAUGUCAUCUUAGGAGUGCUUGCUCUGAGUGAGGCUCAUCUUCAAAUCUGAAUGACCACAAGGAGAUUUGAUUAUACAUGUGAACACCUCAGAAGGCACAGCCCACCCAGAAGGCAGACAGGUCAGGCUGCUUUUUCUUCAUUGCUUGGAUUCAAUCCUCCGGGCGGCUCAGGCUCAAACAUAACUUAAGCAUGAUUAAACUUUAGAAGAAGCUGCCAGGAAGACUGUGAAAUCUUCAUGCCCAAGGAUCCCUAAAAUUAGGAGCAACAACCACUUGGCUCAGACGGUUUAUGGAGGCAAAGGUUUGGAUGGGAUUAGAGAUUUCUAAAUGUGAGUUCGUGUCCUCUGCCAGACCACCUUACUUCCACCAUUCCUCAGCAAAUCAAGAAAAACAGGAGAAAAGACAUGCCUUUCCAUAAGUUAAAUCUAUUCUGUUUUAAUUCUAUAUUAUAUCUGCUGUACAACUUCUUUUGUUUGUAACACCAUAUUGUUGCUAGUAACUGGAAAUUAAUUUUCACAUGCCUCAGCUUAGAAAAAUAAAAAGCAGCCCUGCAUCAA